rnacentral:lncRNA from 1 species
CCCCACUUGUACUGUAUGUACUGACUGCCUGCCUCAAUGCCUAUUGACUUACUAGUCACUUUACUGAGUUCCAGAGUGAUAGGCGGGGAAGGAAGUACCAACAUGUGAGCUAGUUACUUUCGUGCUCGUGCAAAAAAAGACUAUGAAGUUAAUAAAGGAAUAGUGGCGUUUAGGCUGUUAUAGGUCUGUAAAGGCCUUUAGGGCUUACUUAGGCUUCAGCAAUUAGAGCACUUAAGAUAGGUAGAAUUAUAGAGGGCUUAGAGAUAGAUAGCAGAGGUCCUUAUUAGUUCAACAAGUAAGAGAAGAAGGAAAAGAUAUCAGAUUCAUUCCAAGCUUCAUUCUUUUAACAAAAAUAUCGUUAAAUAGACUGACCUUUA